rnacentral:rRNA from 1 species
AGAUUGAACGCUGGCGGCAUGCCUUACACAUGCAAGUCGAACGGUAGAGUAGCAAUACUCGAGAGUGGCGAACGGGUGAGUAAUAUAUCGGAACGUGCCCAGUCGUGGGGGAUAACGUAGAGAAAUUUACGCUAAUACCGCAUACGAUCUAAGGAUGAAAGCGGGGGAUUCGCAAGAACCUCGCGCGAUUGGAGCGGCUGAUAUCAGAUUAGGUUGUUGGUGAAGGUAAAAGCUCACCAAGCCGACGAUCUGUAGCUGGUUUGAGAGAACGACCAGCCACACGU